AGUGAGUGGCGGACGGGUGAGUAACACGUGGGUAACCUGCCCUAAAGUGGGGGAUAACAUUUGGAAACAGAUGCUAAUACCGCAUAAAACCUAACACCGCAUGGUGUAGGGUUGAAAGAUGGUUUCGGCUAUCACUUUAGGAUGGACCCGCGGUGCAUUAGUUAGUUGGUGAGGUAAAGGCUCACCAAGACCGUGAUGCAUAGCCGACCUGAGAGGGUAAUCGGCCACACUGGGACUGAGACACGGCCCAGACUCCUACGGGAGGCAGCAGUAGGGAAUCUUCCACAAUGGACGAAAGUCUGAUGGAGCAACGCCGCGUGAGUGAAGAAGGUUUUCGGAUCGUAAAACUCUGUUGUUGGAGAAGAAUGUAUCUGAUAGUAACUGAUCAGGUAGUGACGGUAUCCAACCAGAAAGCCACGGCUAACUACGUGCCAGCAGCCGCGGUAAUACGUAGGUGGCAAGCGUUGUCCGG
rnacentral:rRNA from 1 species